GACGAACGCUGGCGGCGUGCCUAACACAUGCAAGUCAAGGGGAAAAGGGUAGCAAUAUCCUGAGUACACUGGCGCACGGGUGAGUAACGCGUAGGCAACCUGCCCAUAGGACGGGGAUAAUUCAGCGAAAGCUGGACUAAUACCCGAUGAUGCAACGACACAGCAUUGUGUUGUUGUUAAAAGCCCGCAAGGGUGCCGAUGGAUGGGCCUGCGUCCCAUUAGGUAGUUGGUAGGGUAACGGCCUACCAAGCCUGCGAUGGGUAGCUGGUCUGAGAGGAUGAUCAGCCACACUGGAACUGAGACACGGUCCAGACUCCUACGGGAGGCAG
rnacentral:rRNA from 1 species